AACCCAUGAUUUGGGCAUUUUCUCAGCAUCACUUUGAAUCUUUUCCAUGUUUCACAAAAGACUUCAUCAGAUCCUUAUAUGAACAUAGAAAUAUUAGACUUUGCUU
rnacentral:snoRNA from 1 species